AACUUUAUAUUCAAUAAUGAUAUUAGACUGCAAUUCUAAAGGAAUAAAACAAUUUUUAUUAAAGUUU
rnacentral:tRNA from 1 species